AUCUACGGCCAUACUACCCUGAACAAGCCCAAUCCCAUCUGAUCUCGGAAGCUAAGCAGGGUUGGGCCUGGUUAGUACUUGGAUGGGAGACCACCUAGGAAGACCAGAGGCUGUAGGUG
rnacentral:rRNA from 1 species